rnacentral:lncRNA from 1 species
GCGGCCAAAAAUCAGAGGAAAAUAUGUGUGACCUUGGUUCAAACAUUUUGUCAAAUAAAUGGUCUGCAGUAGCUCUGAAAAACCCAACACGUACACGGACUAACAAAAAGAACAAAUCUCGGUUUCUUGGCUUGGCCAAACCAGGGUGAGGCACCAAAAGAUUUGAGGAGCGAGCGUUUGGUCGUGGGGGUCUCUACCAGCUCGGAGACG